rnacentral:rRNA from 1 species
AACGCGAAGAACCUUACCAGGGCUUGACAUGCACGGUGCCGCUCCAGAGAUGGGGUUUCCUUUUGGGUCGUGCACAGGUGGUGCAUGGUUGUCGUCAGCUCGUGUCGUGAGAUGUUGGGUUAAGUCCCGCAACGAGCGCAACCCUCGUCCUGUAUUGCCAGCAACAUUCUCCACUUGUGGGGGGUGGUUGGGGACUUGCGGGAGACUGCCGGGGUCAACUCGGAGGAAGGUGGGGAUGACGUCAAAUCAUCAUGCCCCUUAUGUCCUGGGCUGCACGCAUGCUACAAUGGCCGGUACAGAGGGCUGCGAUACUGUGAGGUGGAGCGAAUCCCUUAAAGCCGGUCUCAGUUCGGAUCGGGGUCUGCAACUCGACCCCGUGAAGUCGGAGUCGCUAGUAAUCGCAGAUCAGCAACGCUGCGGUGAAUACGUUCCCGGGCCUUGUACACACCGGAGUA